AUUGAACGCUGGCGGCAGGCCUAACACAUGCAAGUCGAGCGGAUGAAGGGAGCUUGCUCCUGGAUUCAGCGGCGGACGGGUGAGUAAUGCCUAGGAAUCUGCCUGGUCGUGGGGGAUAACGUCCGGAAACGGGCGCUAAUACCGCAUACGUCCUGAGGGAGAAAGUGGGGGAUCUUCGGACCUCACGCUAUCAGAUGAGCCUAGGUCGGAUUAGCUAGUUGGUGGGGUAAAGGCCUACCAAGGCGACGAUCCGUAACUGGUCUGAGAGGAUGAUCAGUCACACUGGAACUGAGACACGGUCCAGACUCCUACGGGAGGCAGCAGUGGGGAAUAUUGGACAAUGGGCGAAAGCCUGAUCCAGCCAUGCCGCGUGUGUGAAGAAGGUCUUCGGAUUGUAAAGCACUUUAAGUUGGGAGGAAGGGAAGUAAGUUAAUACCUGGCUGUUUUGACGGUACCAACAGAAUAAGCACCGGCUAACUUCGUG
rnacentral:rRNA from 1 species